AGGGGCAAGCGGAGAAUGGGAAGGCACCAUGGCAAGGGGUGAGGGAGAGGUGUAAAAAAGAGUGGACCAUGUUUCGAGUUCGCAUGACCAAUGCCAAAAAAGCAUAUUACAAGGAUAUGGGAAUUAAUCCUACCAAUUCCACAGCUGACUAGGGGAUGACCCUCACAGAAGCUAACCUGUAUACAAUCAUAAUUACCACUGUUCUUAGGGUUUAUUUUAUUUUAUUUUAUUUAAUAAUAGCGAUCAUUUUUUAGUAUCCCAAAGGUUACUGAUGAGAGUGCUUUGAUCUUCCAUGCUGCUAGAAGUGAAUUGGGUACCCGGGUGGCAGGUGAAAGAGAAAAAAAGUCAAUUAUUCAUUUCUAUCAUCGUCUAUUCAUUUUUGUUCUCUCUUUCACACAUUGAUAUGUAGACAUUAAAUGGGCAUGAAAGUUCCUCCUUCAUGGGCCAUUAUAGAUGAAAUAUGAAUCAAAGUUAAUGCUAGCAA